rnacentral:misc_RNA from 1 species
GAUGAAGAACGUAGCGAAAUGCGAUAAGUAGUGUGAAUUGCAGACUUUAGUGAAUCAUCGAAUCUUUGAACGCACAUUGCGCCCUUUGGUAUUCCAAAGGGCAUGCCUGUUCGAGCGUCAUUUGUACCCUCAAGCUUUGCUUGGUGUUGGGCGUCUUGUCUCUAGCUUUGCUGGAGACUCGCCUUAAAGUAAUUGGCAGCCGGCCUACUGGUUUCGGAGCGCAGCACAAGUCGCACUCUCUAUCAGCAAAGGUCUAGCAUCCAUUAAGCCUUUUUUUCAACUUUUGACCUCGGAUCAGGUAGGGAUACCCGCUGAACUUAAGCAUAUCAAUAAGCGGAGGA